ACUACUCUUACAGUCUUCCAAAGUUAGGUUAUGUAUCCAGACACCAAGGAUUCGUUAAUUAGGGUUGUGACAGGUUUAGCAAUUGCUGGCACACUGAGCUUCAACAGCAUUGCUAGGAUUUGAUCAGGUCCAGACUGUUUUUUCAUUUUAAGAUUAUUAAGGUGUUUUUUAAUGACACUAAUAGGUACAGGUCUAAAUAUGAACUUGUCUAUAUUGGGUCUUUGCAAAUUUAAUGGGGCCUGAUCCACAUUUGUAGUUUCCAGAUGUGUGUCAUUUAUUAGCUUGGCAAUCAGGGUAGUGGAGCAUCCGACAAAAUAAUUGUUAAAGGCAUUUGCUACAUCUAAGGGAAGUUGCAGGGUUUGGUUAUCCACUUUGACAGUUUAGGGUUCGGAGUGGAUUGGGGGAGUUUGUAAUUUAUUUAUGACUUUCCAAAGGUUUCUAGGGUUUGAUAUGUUAUUGUUCAGAUUUUCACAGAAAUAUUGGGCCUUGGCCAAUUUUGUUUGCUUUGUGCAUAUAUUUCGCCAGUUGUCUAUAUGCACAGUGAUCGUUCAUAGAGCCAGUACGCUUGAACUUUGACCACAAUGAAUCCCGAAACUGGUACAUUUGGAUGAGGUCAGCUGUGAUCCAGUUCACAUGUGCUCAUUUUACUCUCACCUUACCUUUUGGAUUUUGAGCUAUGGUUUCAUUCCCUGUGCUAUGUCAGAUAGGGAAUGCACUGGGGAGCUAAGUGGGCUGUAGAUUCCUGCAACAAUGAUUGAUUUGCUGCACGGGAUCUCAAUUGAGCUAGAAAGGAAAUCAAAGUUGGCAGGAGGGCUAAAGUUUUGUAAGGGG